CAAGAGAUCUUAGGGACAACGCUAAGAGGCCCAGAGAAUGUGGAAGACUAUAAUACGUCACUUCAGCCUCUUCUACUCAUCGAUAUCCAGCAAUUCGGAGAUCUGAUACACAAAGAUACAGCUCAGGAGAACUAUGUUCCAAGUGACAGCAUCUUUGACAACCUGUACUUUUUUGUUCUACCUUUUGUUCUUCUUCCUGUGAAAAGCCAUGCGAUGAAG